rnacentral:rRNA from 1 species
UACGGGGGGGGCAAGCGUUGUUCGGAAUUACUGGGCGUAAAGGGCUCGUAGGCGGCCAACUAAGUCAGACGUGAAAGCCCUCGGCUCAACCGAGGAAUUGCGCUCUAAACUGUCGUGCUAGAGGAACCUAGAGGUGAGCAGAACUGAUGGUGGAGCGGUGAAAUGCGUUGAUAUCAUCAGGAAUACCGGAGGCGAAGGCGGCUCACUGGGGGUUUUCUGACGCUGAGGAACGAAAGCCAGGGGAGCGAACGGG